rnacentral:rRNA from 1 species
UGGGUGACCUGCCCUCAGCUCUGGGAUAAGCCCGGGAAACUGGGUCUAAUACCGGAUAUGACCUCUCAUCGCAUGGUGAGGGGUGGAAAGUUUUUCGGCUGGGGAUGGGCCCGCGGCCUAUCAGCUUGUUGGUGGGGUGAUGGCCUACCAAGGCGACGACGGGUAGCCGGCCUGAGAGGGCGACCGGCCACACUGGGACUGAAACACGGCCCAGACUCCUACGGGAG